rnacentral:rRNA from 1 species
UACGGAGGAUGCAAGCGUUAUCCGGAAUGAUUGGGCGUAAAGCGUCCGCAGGUGGCUGUGUAAGUCUGCUGUCAAAGAGCGAAGCUCAACUUCGUAAAGGCAGUGGAAACUACACGGCUAGAGUGCGUUCGGGGCAGAGGGAAUUCCUGGUGUAGCGGUGAAAUGCGUAGAGAUCAGGAGGAACACCCGUGGCGAAAGCGGCUCUCUGGGACGGUACUGACGCUGAGACGCGAAAGCGUGGGGAGCAAACAGG